rnacentral:snoRNA from 1 species
UAUUCAUUUUCCAUGAAAAUUCAGAAACAUUAAGAAAUUUGUGAUUUGCUGUGGACAUGACUAUAGACAAUUUCCCAGGAGGUUUUUGUCUUUGCUACCUUGCUAGCAUAUAACCGAUUGGGGACAUUG